GCCAGCCUAACUUCUGUCUUUCCCUUCAGGAUGGUGUACAGAUUCUCUUUCUGUGUCAUGCAGUUACUGCCAGGAAAUGGGAGAAGGGCAGAUUGGUGUUCCUUCAGGGAGGAUAAUUGGUGGAAACUUCUAUAUGGCCAUCUUGCUCUGCCUCCACUGGAUAAAACUUUAUAGAUGGAGAACAAUCACUUCCUCAUUGGUAAACCACAUCUCAAUACAAAAACUCUUUAGUAGUCCUGGAUGUACACUCUACCUAAAAACAUUAAGAUUUAC
rnacentral:lncRNA from 1 species